AUCUAUAUAAUAUAAAAGGUAUAUUUGCUUCCAAUCAUAAAGUCUGUUAAUAACAGUAUAG
rnacentral:tRNA from 1 species